rnacentral:rRNA from 1 species
UAACUNCNAAAAAAAACUUAAAUUGUUUUAUUUUUAUUAGAAUUAAAAUGAGGAACAAAAUCGGAAGCCCCGACUGUUUACUAAAAACACAACUAUCUGCAAUGAUGUAAAUCAUAGUAUAGGUAGUGAGGUUUGCCCGAUGCCAUUAACAUAAGAGAAGGUAAUGGGUAACUGUUAUUAAUCGAAAGUCUGGUUAAUAGCGGUCUUAACUAUGAGGAUCCAAAGGUAGCAAAAUAAAUUGGCCUUUAAAUGAGGUCCGGUAUCAAUAAUUUAACGAUGGCUUCACUGUCUCUACAACUUGCUCAGUGAAAUUGAAUUACCCGUGCAGAUGCGGGUUGCCUCCAGGGGGACGGGAAACUGAAAUACAAGCCUGGAGAUAGUUACGCACUAUUAUAAAAAUAAAUAGCGACUAGAUAAGUUAUAUUACA